CAGCAAAUAGGAAAACACAACGAAAUGAACCUCUUACGGAAAGGGUAGGACCCUAUAAGCAGAGGACGGACCCUUCUGAUUGGACAGGCGGACUGUCUGUCAACAGGAAAUGAGGACUCGCUCGCUUGCUAGACCUUCAUUCCGCGCGAAAAUACGGCGAAAAAAAGAAUGUUUGUCGUCAAAAGUUGUUGGCGAACCAACCGAUUUUUUGCAGUGGUUGUGGACAGAUACUUGGAAAAAGUCUGGAGUCUUUGGCUCAACCCACCGAUGGACCAACUUCAGUGAGCACAAGACGUAAUUUCAACGUUGAAAUAUGGUUGAAAUCGGGUUGAAACGUUCUGAACGUCUAAGACCUCAUUUCAACGUCUUUUCAACCGGCUAAAAAUGGGAUGAAACAUCAACGUGCCAGAAAACGUUAAUUUGUUGAUAAAUGUGUCAUGUUGUAACGUAAGGUUGAAAGAGAGACGAUAUUAACGUUAAGAUUUUCAGAAUAAUUAAUGAACUGGUCGGCGAAAUUUGGUCUACGCGAAGACGUAAUUUCAACGUAUUUACUAUUUCGCUUAAAACGUCAUAAAUAUGAAACUACGGACUGCGUGCUGUCAAUAAGAUGCGUUUAAGACAUAAUAAUGCGGGCAGGUUCAAACAUUACUUGUAAACACGUAACUCCGCUCACAUCUGUAACGCGCAUGCGCGAGUUCUUAGACGCCUGCAGAGCUCCGAGCGGACGCAGCACGAAGCGAAGUUACGGCAGCAGAGCGACAUGAACGGGCUGAUAGAACCACGACUACCGGCUCCACUACUCUAAUCCUCAAGUGAGGAUGAGGGAGAUGCAGCUGAUUUCAGGUUUCUGCGGGUGGUGGUUGCAUCUGAUGGAGGUUACGUCUGAUGAUGGUUGUCCCUGCACUGGUCCUGCCUUACCCCUGGCUUAGUAAUCCACAAUAUUAGAAUCAUUUCUGUCGUAGGAAUUGGAUGUACUGUACAUCUUUAAAUUGUUCAUACUCUACACACCUACUGCCUUGCUGUUUUCCCCUCAGGUUUCUCCCGGUUGAAGGUUUUUUACAUUUUGGGGGUUUUGGGACAGGAUGUUGCAUGUUUACAGAUUGCAAAGCUGAACAAAAUAAAAUGAUUUUGUCACAGGGUGAGGUCAAGUUGGGUUUUUGUCGGCAUGUUUUGGUCUUGUCAUUUCCGUUUUAUUUUGAAAGUAGUAACCUUCCUCUCGUUUCAGGUCACUUGCCCUUCCUCAUGUCACCAGUCGAAUCGUCUCCCCUGAUUCCUGAUUGUGUCCACCUGUUUCCCAUUACCCUCAUGUGUCUUAUAGUCUGCGUCUCCCUUUGUCUUGUGCCUGAGUGUACCACCGUGCGAUCACCCAAGCCUCGCCACAGCCACAGGAUUUGUUAAUACCAAUGCCUUGUCUCGGAAUGAUUACCCCUUUAUGUUUUUUCCUCUGAGUAAGAGUGACCUUUGUUGGAGCUUCUUAGUUUUAGUUUUAGCGCGCUUUCGAAGCCGUUCGUUUUCCUCGAUUAAGAGAGAUUUUAGUUUGUUAACUUUCGUCGGAAACACUGAUAGCUCAUAGCCGUUUGUUUGUUUUUUCACGACGCGAUUAAAGACGCCAAACCCUCUGCAUCUGAGUCCUCAUUUUUAUCCGGUCCUGACAGAACACUCAGGCCAGUAUGGACUCAGCAGAGGCAGAACAGAUGGCGGCAGCCCUGGGUGCCCAAGAUGCCCGUCUUUCCCGUCAAGAGGAAUUCCAGACGUCACUGGCUUCUCACAUAAGCCUACUCUCAUCCCAAAUUCAGGGUCUGCGUGACCUUUUCGUCCAGGACACCACAGCCCCCAGGGCCCCGACAGUAGAGGCUGCUCCUCCCCCGACAGCGGUUGUCCAUGGGUCUGGAGGAAGGUUAGCCCCCCCUGAGAAAUUUGCGGGGGAGCAGGGACUAUGCAAGACCUUUCUCAUUGACUGUUCUAUUCAUUUUGAACUGACUCCUCAUGCUUUCCCCACCGAAAGGUCCAAGGUAGCAUUCAUGAUGACCCACCUGACCGGCAGGGCCAAAGCAUGGGCCUCGGCAGAGUGGGCUCGUGACUCCCCACUCUGCUUUUCCCUCAC
ensembl:lncRNA